CCUAAAAUUUCCCUCCAAUAUCGAUCCCACUACCCUCAUUUUCUCCUUGACCUCACCCCCAAAAUCAAAAAUUAAAUUUCCUAAUUUCCCUCUAAAAUGAGUAGCACCAGUUGAAGGUCAUUUUGAGUUUUGACAAAUUCCCUCUACACUAACAGCGCAACAAUGGAGGGGACUCGUAAUCACAACAAAAAUGACAACAUAAGAUCAUUGUCCGAGAUUGCCAAGGAGGAACGAUGGUCAGACCAGGACCCGCCCCAUUGUGUUGCCCAAAGCGCCCACCCCGGUUCCAGUAGGCUUAUCUCGAUUCACUUCCAUCUUCUAACAGGUAUUGGUAGAUAAUUACACAGAAGCAUAAAGGAUUUGGUCAACAUUUUACUUCCUAUAUCACUUAAGCAGGUGUUGGGGUCCACUCGUUGGUAGUCGGGUUCCCUUGCAAGAAGCAUGAUGUGCAAAUUCAACUUUAUGGACGAAAUUCAAGGACGUCUCAUUUGUGCCAUCUACUUUGAUGACCCAACAUGCAUAAUUUGGUGUGGAGAAAAAUCAUACUAUUUGUUGAAUUUGCCCGAAAUGCUUAUAAGUAGUUUCGCAACAAGGCAACAUUUUCAAGAUCAAUAAGUGUAUGUGGUCGAGUUUUAUUUUAAGCAGUUUUAGGUAUGUUGACUAUCACGUUAGCAGCCCGAGUUUUAGGUAUGUUGACUAUCACGUUAGCAGCCCGACGUAGUUAUAAUUGAAGCUGGAUAAUGGAGGAUAUUGCAUAAGGAAGAGCGUGGAGUGGUAAUAUUUUGCAAAUUUUUAAUAUGAAGAACACCUGCAGAAACAUUUUGACAUCCAAUGAGCAAACUUUGAAGCUAGGAUGCGAAGUAUCAUGGAUAGCUACCUAUCGGAGUACUUGGUAGGAGGUUUUUGUAACUUUUAUCAUUGUAAUUACAACUUUAUUUUGAUUACAUUGUUAUUUAUAAUUGGAUAGAUGUUAAAUUAUGGAAUAAGAUAUGUACUAUAUUUGUGUUA